rnacentral:rRNA from 1 species
AGAGUUUGAUCCUGGCUCAGAGUGAACGCUGGCGGCAUGGUUAAGACAUGCAAGUCGAACGAAAAGCAAAUCUUCGGAUUUGUGGAAAGUGGCGAACGGGUGCGUAACACGUGAGCAACCUGCCCUAAAGUGCGGAACAGCCUGUCGAAAGAUGGAUUAAUGCCGCAUGUGGCUCUUCUUCGCAUGGAGAAGUAGCUAAAGCUUGUAAUGGCGCUUUAGGAUGGGCUCGCGGCCUAUCAGCUUGUUGGUAAGGUAACGGCUUACCAAGGCUAAGACGGGUAGCUGGUCUGAGAGGAUGAUCAGCCACACCGGGACUGAGACACGGCCCGGACACCUACGGGUGGCAGCAGUUUCGAAUCAUUCACAAUGGGCGAAAGCCUGAUGAUGCAAUGCCGCGUGGAGGAUGAAGGCCUUAGGGUCGUAAACUCCUGUCAUUGGGGAACAACAAGUAGGUUCAUAGCCUAUCAUGAGUUAACCCAAAGAGGAAGAGGUGGCUAACUCCGUGCCAGCAGCCGCGGUAAUACGGAGACCUCGAGCGUUACUCGGAUUUACUGGGCGUAAAGGGUGAGCAGGCGGCCAAGUAUGUCAGGUGUGAAAUCCCGGGGCUUAACCCCGGAACUGCGCCUGAAACUACUUGGCUAGAGUCUCGGAGAGGAUAGUGGAAUUCCAAGUGUAGCGGUGAAAUGCGUAGAUAUUUGGAGGAACACCAGUGGCGAAGGCGACUAUCUGGACGAGUACUGACGCUCAAUCACGAAAGCAUGGGUAGCGAAAGGGAUUAGAUACCCCUGUAGUCCAUGCCGUAAA